GCUAUUUAAUAAAACAGAAGAAAAGUUCUUUUUGACCCGUGAUGCCCGGGAAACCUUUAGCCACUUGAGUGACGCAUGUUGGGAUAGCGACAUUCACGUGAGCACGUCUUUACCCACGUGCCAGCGUCUUUGGUUCGCUGAUGAGAUCAUCCCGCAUUUCGAAGGAAUGGUUGUCUUCACGGUUUAGAUAACAAGCAUCAAGGAAUGUGCGGGGGAGUGGUUACCACUUACUAUAGCAUUUACUAUAUUUAGCUAUCUAAGAAUGUCAAUAUUUUUAAGAAUGCAGAUCAGAGUCCCUUCAUUAUUCUUUUGAAAGCAUACGUCCAUGCAGCUGAAUACAUUUGAAUCAAGAUCAAUUAGUUGAUCGAGAUGGCAGGAGAAAACUAGGGUUCUCAUAUAGCAUCUUCUGCAUCUUCUAAGAUAAAAUAUUUCACUUAGAAGCCCCCAUCAUCUAUAUUUAGAGCCUUCAAUGUGGUGUUGGAUGAAGUUUCUAAGAUGGUAAUCUGUUGGAUAUUGGAGGCAUCUAUUAUCGAUGAUGAUUUGCAUCAUAUUCUGAUAGAUCUGAGAAAACUGAUCUCCCAUGAUCAUUUGGCCAUUUAAGAUCGUAUAUGUUUACAGAGGGGUUAAUAGCAUCAC
rnacentral:lncRNA from 1 species